rnacentral:rRNA from 1 species
UACGAAGGGAGCUAGCGUUGUUCGGAAUCACUGGGCGUAAAGCGCACGUAGGCGGAUAUUUAAGUCAGGGGUGAAAUCCCAGAGCUCAACUCUGGAACUGCCUUUGAUACUGGGUAUCUUGAGUAUGGAAGAGGUGAGUGGAAUUCCGAGUGUAGAGGUGAAAUUCGUAGAUAUUCGGAGGAACACCAGUGGCGAAGGCGGCUCACUGGUCCAUUACUGACGCUGAGGUGCGAAAGCGUGGGGAGCAAACAGG